rnacentral:rRNA from 1 species
AUUGAACGCUGGCGGCAGGCCUAACACAUGCAAGUCGAACGGUAACAGGAAGCAGCUUGCUGCUUUGCUGACGAGUGGCGGACGGGUGAGUAAUGUCUGGGAAACUGCCCGAUGGAGGGGGAUAACUACUGGAAACGGUAGCUAAUACCGCAUAACGUCGCCAGACCAAAGAGGGGGACCUUAGGGCCUCUUGCCAUCGGAUGUUCCCAGAUGGGAUUAGCUAGUAGGUGGGGUAACGGCUCACCUAGGCGACGAUCCCUAGCUGGUCUGAGAGGAUGACCAGCCACACUGGAACUGAGACACGGUCCAGACUCCGACGGGAGGCAGCAGGGGGGAAUAUUGCAGAAUGGGCGCAAGCCUGAUGCAGCCAUGCCGCGUGUAUGAAGAAGGCCUUCGGGUUGUAAAGUACUUUCAGCGGGGAGGAAGGGAGUAAAGUUAAUACCUGUGCUCAUUGACGUUACCCGCAGAAGAAGCACCGGCUAACUCCGUG